AUGGGCUGAUGCUUUAGAAGAGGAAUACAUUAUUCUCAUGGAGAUUCAGCUAAACUUCAAAGGGGAAAAGAAGCUCGGAGGACGACAUGUUCCAUCUUCUGUCUCCUUGAAAUUACAGAACCUUAUUUACUGAGAGACUCAGGAACACAUAUGAUGGAGAAGAGGAUGUUCACACUGCUGGUAUUCACAGACAAAAGAAGACUAGAAGUGUUUCAGGAAGAGGUAGGUCUUCACUCAUCAUUCGAAGACGGUCAGUGACUCGGCUCUUCAGACACCUCGGUACCAGAACAGAGAAGAGUCUAGAUGUAGACCUACCUCUGACCCUGAGAGAUGGUGGAGCAGCUGAGCAGGGCUUGUAGAACCCUGACAGAAAGAGGUAGACAGGACUCGUCACCCUCGUCCAGUCCGUCCCUCAUAAGUACUAUCUGAUCCAGCAGGAGAAAACAUGGAGUGAUGCUCAGGCGUACUGCCGGGUCACACACACUGACCUGGCUAUCGUCGAGAGUAAUGAGGACAUGGUCCGACUGCAGAACGAGGCACAGAGACAACAGUUCAAUUCCAGCGCUUGGAUCGGACUGUGGAACGACAUCAACAGCUGGCGCUGGUCUCUGGGAAAUGAGCCGCUGGGAUCGGAGACAUUUUGGAAAUUUGGAGAACCGAACAACUCUGGAGGCAACCAGGCGUGUGCUGCGACAUAUACAAGGGAGUGGAGUGAUAAAGCAUGGGUGGACCCCUGCCUUUCACCCAGUGUGUGCUGGGAUAGACUCCAGCAGAUCCCCGUGACCCUAAUUAGGAAUAAAUCGGGUAUAGAGAAUGGAUGGAUGUAUAAUAGACAUUCAGUGUCAGAUCAGGUAAGGUUGUUGAUGCAUGUUUCAGAUUUUAGAAGAAUAAAUUGUUUGCUUGUGACUAGGGCUGGGGAAAUUAACGUGUUAUUAUCACAGUAACUCAUUAAUUCAGUUUUUAUUAUUUUGUAAAUAAUUUAAAAAGUCUGCUGCUCACUGGCUCUGAAUACACACAAAGACAAACCAUGGGUGACGGGAGGGGUGGGAUCUCGUUGCGUAUUGGCUUGGGAUAAAGAAGAUGACUAUGCUCCAGACCUCCUCUCACCUGACCUCCUGCCCUUCAUCACCACAGUCAUCAAUGGUGCUGCCUUUAAGCAAGCAAGGGUCUUUAGUAUCCCUAUACUAAAGAAACCUUUGGAUCCCUCUAACAUCAAUAAUUACAGACCAGUAUCACUUCUCUUCUUUCUUUCAUUAUCUCUGAACAACUUAAUGAUCUCCCCUUCAGCCACUGCUCACAACCUUGGGGUAACCAUGGACAAUCAACUGUCCUUUUCCUCCCAUGUUGCCAAUGUUACACGCUCAUGUCGGUUUCUUGUGUACAACAUCAGAAGGAUCCGACCAUUUCUAUCCACACAGGCUGCUCAAGUGCUUGUUCAGUCUCUGGUCAUUUCGAGACUGGACUACUGCAACUCUUUAAUGGCAGGUCUUCCUCUGAAUGCAACUCGUCCACUGCAAAUGAUCCAAAAUGCAGCUGUAUGGCUUGUUUUCAACCUGCCUAAGUUCUCCCACACCACCCCACUGCUGCUCCUCCACUGGCUUCCAGUAGCUGCAUCAGAUUCAAAACACUGACCCUUGCCUACAAAGCAAAGAAUGGACCAGCACCACCUUACCUCAAAGAUGUAUUACUCCUCCCACUGCACCUCGCUCUGUCCGAUCCACUAGCACUGCCCGACUGGUCCCACCAUCUCUCAGGGCAAAAGGUAGGUAUUCAUCUAGACUAUUCUCUGUUCUGGCACCGAGGUGGUGGAAUGAACUUCCCCUAGAUGUCCGUACAGCAGAGUCUCUGACUGUCUUCUAAUAACGUCUUAAGACCUAGCACUUAAACUAGCUCUUAUCUUUCCCUGUUUAUGUAUUGUUAUAUGUUUAACAAUAAUAAAAAAAAUAAAAAUAAAAAAAACCAUCCAAUUUUAGGCUAAUGGUAUCCUGAGUCUGUAAUCUAUUGAACCAGUGUUAAUGUUUUCAGUGAUAGACACUUAAAGCACUUUUGUAUGUCCUUCUGGAUAAGAGCGUCUGCCAAACGCCAGAAAUGUAAAUGUAAAUGUAAACAACAUGAAAAUUUCCAUUCAGUGUUCUAAACUUUUUUUUUUUUUACAGAGAAUAAAGCUGGCACUGAAAGGUUUAUUUACGUCCCUAACAGCAUGACGUGGCUUGAAGCUCAGAGUUACUGUAGACAGUAUCACACAGACCUGACCAGUGUGAAGAGUCUCACAGAAAACAACAUUGUAAAGGGACUGAUCUCUGGAUACUCGUGGAUCGGCCUGUUCAGAGACUCCUGGAAGUGGACGGACAAGACCAACUUCUCCACCGUCAGCUGGGUGACUGGAAAACCUGAUAAUGCUCUGAAGAUAUACCAGAAACUGAAAGAUCAUGAGAUGGCAGAGAACAGCACAGUGAAAUGGGCAGAACAGAGGGAUGGAGAGGUGUUUCACAAGAAGAAGGACAAUAAUAUUGGGGCAGGAAAUGAGAACCAGCAAAGAUGUGACCUUUAAGUUCUUUAAAGUUUGACCUUAUUACUUUAAAGUGAUUUCCUCUGCAUGUUCUGGUCAUUACGAGUGUAUAAGUAGAACAGGACUGUGAUAUUUAUUAUCACUACUAGAAAGAUAGAAAAUAUACGAAAGAUAGCACUUUUACUUCGUGGUGAAAAAUAUGUAAUAUUUUAUGUAAACUCUGACCUUUAAAAUGUACUCAAAGUACAUCAUGUGUAAGUAGAAACAUCAGAUAUCAUUAAAUAUGCACACUAUUACACUCUAAUAAACAAUUUAAUCGAAUAAAUGCUUUAAUCUUUAGUGAGAAAGCAGAGUUAAUCCUCUCCUUUGGAGUGAACUGUAAUAUAGGAAGUCUUUACUGUAACAUCUGUAAUAUUUACUCU